AUACAGAGGGUGCAAGCGUUGCUCGGAUUUACUGGGCGUAAAGCGUACGCAGACGGGGAGAAAGGUCGGAUGUGAAAGCCCCGGGCUCAACCCGGGAACUGCAUCCGAAACCAUCUCGCUAGAGUAUGGGAGAGGGAAGCAGAAUUCCUGGUAUAGAGGUGAAAUUCGUAGAUAUCAGGAGGAAUACCUGCGGCGAAGGCGGCUUCCUGGCCCAUUACUGACGUUCAGGUACGAAAGCGUGAGUAGCAAACAGGA
rnacentral:rRNA from 1 species